rnacentral:rRNA from 1 species
GCCAGACUCCUACGGGAGGCAGCAGUGGGGAAUAUUGCACAAUGGGGGAAACCCUGAUGCAGCGACGCCGCGUGAGUGAAGAAGUAUUUCGGUAUGUAAAGCUCUAUCAGCAGGGAAGAUAAUGACGGUACCUGACUAAGAAGCCCCGGCUAACUACGUGCCAGCAGCCGCGGUAAUACGUAGGGGGCAAGCGUUAUCCGGAUUUACUGGGUGUAAAGGGUGCGUAGGUGGCAUGGCAAGUCAGAAGUGAAAGCCCGGGGCUCAACCCCGCGGACUGCUUUUGAAACUGGCAGGCUUGAGUGCUGGAGAGGUAAGCGGAAUUCCUAGUGUAGCGGUGAAAUGCGUAGAUAUUAGGAGGAACACCAGUGGCGAAGGCGGCUUACUGGACAGUGACUGACACUGAGGCUCGAAAGCGUGGGGAGCAAACAGGAUUAGAUACCCUUGUA